GGUCUCGUGGUGUAGUUGGUUAUCACAUCAGUCUAACACACUGAAGGUCUCCAGUUCGAACCUGGACGAGACCA
rnacentral:tRNA from 1 species